UGGRRGGCCCCUAAAAUUAAACAUGUAGUCGAGUAGCAACUAGAGGGCAAGUCUGGUGCCAGCAGCCGCGGUAAUUCCAGCUCUAGUAGCAUGUCGUAAAGUUGUUGCGUUUAAAACGCUCGUAGUUGGAUCAUACAGUGUUCAUUAGUUAGUUUGCGUAUGUAGGCGUGAACACCUAUCUAUAGGUAUGGACUCCAUUAAUUUGGUAUUCGUCUUGUAGCGUAGGAGUCUACUGCGUAGAUUUUGCUAGUGGAUACUACUUGCAUGUAAGAAUGGUGAUUGGCCUUAGGUGAGUCGGUCAUUGUGUCUUACAGGGUGUGCCUUGAAUAAAUCAGAGUGCUCAAAGCAGGCUUGUGCCUGAAUGAUUCAGCAUGGAACGAACAAUCGAGUAACAUGUAUCGUGAAUUGUAUAUUUGUAUGAUUUGCGAAACAUAUCUCCAACCGCCAUGUACGGAUGUUGGUUUCCGUAUUGGGGUGAUGAUUAAAACGAGCGGUUGGGGGCAUUGGUAUUUGGCCGCGAGAGGUGAAAUUCUUAGACCGGCCAAGGACUAACAAAAGCGAAGGCAUUUGCCAAGACCGUCUCGAUUGAUCAAGAACGAUAGUGAGAGGUUCGAAGACGAUCAGAUACCGUCCUAGUUCUCACCGUAAACUAUGCCAACCCGGGAUCAGUUUAGAGCAUUUUUACGCUCCAGUUGGUCCCCCUGGGAAACCUCAGUUUUUGGGUUACGGGGGAGUAUGGUCGCAAGGCUGAAACUUAAAGGAAUUGACGGAAGGGCACCACCAGGGGUGGAGCCUGCGGCUUAAUUUGACUCAACACGGGACAACUCACCCGGUCCUGACGCAAGUGGGAUAGACUGAUUGAUAGCUCAUUCUUGAUUUUGUGUGUGGUGGUGCAUGGCCGUUCUUAGUUCGUGGUGUGAAUUGUCAGAUUUAUUUCGGUAACGAACAAGACCGGAAUCUCCAUUUACGACGUAGUAUAGUCACCCCCGGUGGCUCUAACGGUAGAGUAGAGCGAAAGAUUCGUCCGACUCUCUAUUUUAACGUUAUCCUUUACGAAAUUGUGGGUAGAAAUACUUGCAAUUGCAUGGAGAGACAACCGACUAUAAUUAUAAAAUCGGCGGAAGUCCGGCAAUAACAGGUCUGUUAUGCCCUUAGAUGUUCGGGGCUGCACGCGCGCUACAAUGAUAACGGCAGAAAGAUAUCUUGGUCGACAGACUUGGGAAAUCUAUGAAUCGUUAUCGUGAUGGGGAUUGUCCAUUGUAACUUGGACAUGAAAUAGGAAUCCCUUGUACGUGCACUUCAUUUAAAGUGCGCGGAAUGAGUCCCUGCCCUUUGUACACACCGCCCGUCGCUACUACCGAGUGAAUGGUGUCAUGAUGCGUUGGGACUGGACGCUGGCUAAACUUCGGUCUGGCUGGUGCUAGAAUCAUGUAAAAGCACGGGUGGCAUUGG
rnacentral:rRNA from 1 species